AUUGAACGCUGGCGGCAGGCUUAACACAUGCAAGUCGAACGAUGAUUAUCUAGCUUGCUAGAUAUGAUUAGUGGCGGACGGGUGAGUAACAUUUAGGAAUCUGCCUAGUAGUGGGGGAUAGCUCGGGGAAACUCGAAUUAAUACCGCAUACGACCUACGGGUGAAAGGGGGCGCAAGCUCUUGCUAUUAGAUGAGCCUAAAUCAGAUUAGCUAGUUGGUGGGGUAAAGGCCCACCAAGGCGACGAUCUGUAACUGGUCUGAGAGGAUGAUCAGUCACACCGGAACUGAGACACGGUCCGGACUCCUACGGGAGGCAGCAGUGGGGAAUAUUGGACAAUGGGGGCAACCCUGAUCCAGCCAUGCCGCGUGUGUGAAGAAGGCCUUUUGGUUGUAAAGCACUUUAAGCAGGGAGGAGAGGCUAAUGGUUAAUACCCAUUAGAUUAGACGUUACCUGCAGAAUAAGCACCGGCUAACUCUGUGCCAGCAGCCGCGGUAAUACAGAGGGUGCGAGCGUUAAUCGGAAUUACUGGGCGUAAAGCGAGUGUAGGUGGCUCAUUAAGUCACAUGUGAAAUCCCCGGGCUUAACCUGGGAACUGCAUGUGAUACUGGUGGUGCUAGAAUAUGUGAGAGGGAAGUAGAAUUCCAGGUGUAGCGGUGAAAUGCGUAGAGAUCUGGAGGAAUACCGAUGGCGAAGGCAGCUUCCUGGCAUAAUAUUGACACUGAGAUUCGAAAGCGUGGGUAGCAAACAGGAUUAGGUACCCCGGUAGUCCACGCCGUAAACGAUGUCUACUAGCCGUUGGGGUCCUUGAGACUUUAGUGGCGCAGUUAACGCGAUAAGUAGACCGCCUGGGGAGUACGGCCGCAAGGUUAAAACUCAAAUGAAUUGACGGGGGCCCGCACAAGCGGUGGAGCAUGUGGUUUAAUUCGAUGCAACGCGAAGGACCUUACCUGGUCUUGACAUAGUGAGAAUCCUGCAGAGAUGCGGGAGUGCCUUCGGGAAUUCACAUACAGGUGCUGCGUGGCUGUCGUCAGCUCGUGUCGUGAGAUGUUGGGUUAAGUCCCGCAACGAGCGCAACCCUUUUCCUUAUUUGCCAGCGGGUUAAGCCGGGAACUUUAAGGAUACUGCCAGUGACAAACUGGAGGAAGGCGGGGACGACGUCAAGUCAUCAUGGCCCUUACGACCAGGGCUACACACGUGCUACAAUGGUAGGUACAGAGGGUUGCUACACAGCGAUGUGAUGCUAAUCUCAAAAAGCCUAUCGUAGUCCGGAUUGGAGUCUGCAACUCGACUCCAUGAAGUCGGAAUCGCUAGUAAUCGCAGAUCAGAAUGCUGCGGUGAAUAAGUUCCCGGGCCU
rnacentral:rRNA from 1 species